GCCUUCCCCUUCUCUGUACAGCAGCUUGAAGAAAAUGUGGAACGUCACUUUAUUUGACCCUUAUGUCCAUCAACACAGUAUCACACCACCCUGUUCUGACUUGACAAGAUACUCGUAGCAGAUUCUACACUAAGAUUACAAACUGCUUGCCCCAACACUGUAAGUGGGGAUGGAAAUCACUGAUGACAAGACACAGCUAAAGUUGGAAUUUACAUACAGCUGCAUCAUUGGGAAACUGAACAACACACAAGACCAACGUGUGCCCUGGUUGCUGGGAGUGCCAGAGUCUACUUACUGAUGGCCCCAGCUGUGAUGUCAAAGUCGAAGGCCCAGACCUGUCUGGGUGUGGAGUCGAUGAAGUACAUGACGCUGUUGUCUUCAGUCCAGGCCAUGCCGUUGGGGCUGCUGAGAAUCACCAGUUUUCUCCUUCUACGACCCCAAGAAGCCCAAUGUGAUACAAUCAGAUGCAAGUCUAAAAGGGCUGGGAUGUGUGUUGUGCCAAGAGGGGAGACCUGUGUGCUAUGAAAGCCACUCUCUGAGCCCAGCAGAAGAAAACUAUAGAUUUUCUGAAGGUAAAAAAUGGUAUGAAAUGGUUUCUUACAUUGAAACUCAGAUUGUUUAAGAAUGAUGAAAACAACGAAUCUGUUUUGGCCGAACCUUCCCUCAGAAGUACUAAUUUCUCACUCUUGUAUGUAGCUGAGAUUAACAUUCAAAUAACAGAGGCGUAUUAAAAAUUGUACACAGGAAUGUCAGGUUGAGGGUAGUGGGUGGAUGUUGGUUUAUAUUGUUCAUUUAGACGUGUCUCAGCUGAGUAUGUUCAUUUAGUUGCCAGCAGUUAUAUUCCACUUCCUAACAAAAUGAAGUAUCAGAAAGCUAAAAUAAACGAAGACCAAAUUCGUUUUGUCUGGUCUAUCUCAGCAGCUCUACAUCCAGUGGAUAAAUAGCAAAUAUAAAACGUAUGACUCAGAACUAAUAUGAAGGGAACAGACAUGCCUGUGUUGAUAAUACAAAUUUUGAGAAAUAAAAUGAUAUUCCAAUCAAUUUAUUAGGUUUUGGUGCGAAGGAUGAGGUAUUUCCCUCACAUAUAUCAUAGUACACAUAUUCCACGCAGUAGGAUUAUUGUUGUUGAGCAAGGAAG